rnacentral:lncRNA from 1 species
AGGCUGUUUGGAGGACGCUGCAGUGAUGGCCUUCUGGGGAGUGAGGGCUGGGUUUCGGAUAGGGAGGUGGGAGAUGGGGGGUCCUGAACUGCCUUUCCCGCCACGUCAGGACCCAGGGCCGGGGACAGCGGGCGUCUGGGGGGCUGCAUGGACGAUGGGGGAGGAUGUGCAGGCUGGCGGGGGAGGGGGUGGAGCGCAUGGGCUGCCUGGCCCUGUCUUGGGGACAUGAAGCCUGGUUUGCCAAGUGGGAACCGAGGGACAUGUGCUCCAAGAGACACAUCCAGGGACUGCAAUCAAUUUCCAAAGGGCCUUUUCUCCUUUCAGCGAUGCUGUUAAGAAAGGCAAUGAAUCAUGUGCCACAAGAAUCUUGAGAGAACCCACGAGCUUGGGAGCUGGUGACAGACCCCCAUUCGGAGCGCUCUCUGCACAGCUACACAGCGACCCCGCCCCCGCCUGCCCAUCAGGACGGCUCUGCAGCUGCAAAGGGCGAGUGCUUGGUUCCCAAGGCAGGGCCCAGCUCCAUGGUUCUCCUCGCCUCACUCUCCUCCGUGAGCCUCAGGGACCCGGUGGCCACAGCACCCUCAGUUCUCCCCAGAGUUGCUGUUCCCACCUCUGGCUGUGAGGUAGGUGGCAUGGCAGAGGGGGCUGGCCUGGGAUGUGGGAUCCUGCUGUGAGCGGCACCAGUGGGGUUUGUCAUGCUGACACUGAUGACAGAGGUGAACUCAUGGUCCCCCGGCCCUGGGGAGCAGAGACCCCCUUCCAGGCAGCAGGGCAGGGUAGGUGCAUCCAGCACCCUCCAUGGUCGCAGCCCUCCACCAGGUGGCAGGUCACGCCAUGCCUUCUCUGUCCUCACAGUGGUGUGGCGGGGCUGGGUGUGUAACUCUCGUCCUGUGUUCCGUGGACACUGUGCCUGGGUCACACAACAGCGGAUGGAGCCUCAGAGCCCCAGGAGCCCUGUGGCUGCUCCUGCUCCUGGGACGGCAGGGCCAGCGCAGGGACUGUGGAGCUCAGGAGGAGGGACCCUCUAGCUCAUUAUGUAGAGGAGGCGGCAGUCAGGCGGACGGGGUGGGCACCGGAGGGAGGAUGGGAUGGGCAGGGAAGCCGCCGCAACAGCUGCAGUGAGGUUCUUUCCCAAGGUGGAGGAGGGGGAAGGACAGGCAGGGCCCAUGUGGUUGGGCUCUUCCUCCUCCAGCUCAGGAGCCACCGACAGGACAUGGCCUCAGCUGGGUGGCACCAGGUGACCAGGCCCAGCUCAGGGUCUGCUCUCCUCUGAUGGUCCAGGCGGGUACCGUGCAGCCCUGGGACUUGACAUCGGCUGAGCUGUGGCAAAGAGCUGUGUUCUUCCCAGCUCCCAAGCCCUGUGGCACCCGCAGUUGUGAAGUCCUCAGGUGACCUCGGACAGUGUCCAUUGGGUGCUUCCCUGGUGCCAGUGCUGUUCUGGAAGCUUCUGUGGUCUUGUUUGGUGCUCACAGCACUCAUGCCUGCAGUAACUGUCCCCACAUUAAAGUGAGGGACAGGCUGGGGCUUGGAGGUGCCAUGGUGGCGCCAGUGUCCCAGGGCCACCAAGCAAACCACCGUGGGCCCGGCAGCCUGAGCGGCAGGCCUGUAUUCCCUCUCCACCCGCCCUGUCUGGAGGCUGGACUUGGAGACAGAGGGGCCUCUUGGCUAUCUUCUUCCGGGACCACUCUCCCUGGCAGGAGCCCGCCUGGCACAGCUGCGUGAGUGCCGGGCGUCCUUGCCUGAAACAAACUGCAAUUCAGCGCAGGAUUCCAGGAUUCCAUGGCAACGUGCCCUGUGUUCCGGCCCCGGCUGGGGCUUGGGAGCAGCUGCUGUGUCAUGGGGGAUCCACUUGUUUACCGACAGCCCCAAGGACCCGGACAUGGUGCCAGCUUCCCAUGCCUUGGCCCUGAGAUCUGGGAGGCCCAUCGCGGCCGGUGCUUCCCCCAACCCCACUGAGCAUCUCCUUCCCGCCCUGUGUCCACCCACCUCCUGCCCAAGACCCCUGAGUGUUCGUGGGCUCUACCUGGUGGGAUGCUCUUUGGCUUGUAGACAGGGGUUGGUUGGCAGCAUAGUGUUCCCUAUCGAUGUCCACAUCCUAGUGGGAGCCUGUGACUACCUGGCUCGGGGGAUCCAGGUUGCAGAUGAAAUAAGGUUGGAUCAGCUGACUUUAAACUAGGGUGGUGACCCUGGAGCAUCCCGGGGGGCCCAGUGUAAUCACAAGGUCCUUAAAAGUGGAGGAGGGGCCAGCGUGGGGCUCACGCCUGCAAUCCCAGAGCUUUGGGAAGCCGAGGCAGCAGGAUCCCCUGAAUCCAGGAGUUCGAAGCCAGCCUGGGCAACAAAGUGAGACCGAGUCUUCAAAGCCAGCCUGAGCCACAUAGUGAGACUGAGUCCUGUCUCUACAAAAAGUAAACAAAAAUCAGCCG